UACGUAGGGUGCAAGCGUUUUCCGGAAUUAUUGGGCGUAAAGAGCUCGUAGGCGGUCUGUCGCGUCUGCUGUGAAAACCCGGGGCUCAACCCCGGGCUUGCAGUGGAUACGGGCAGACUAGAGUUCGGUAGGGGAGACUGGAAUUCCUGGUGUAGCGGUGAAAUGCGCAGAUAUCAGGAGGAACACCGGUGGCGAAGGCGGGUCUCUGGGCCGAUACUGACGCUGAGGAGCGAAAGCGUGGGGAGCGAACAGG
rnacentral:rRNA from 1 species